CUGUCUACUUCCAGUCCCCCCAUGUGGCUGUGCUGGAAGCUCUCGGAUAUGCCUUGUCCCAGCUUCUACAGGCUGAGGAAGCUCCAGAGAAGAUCAUUCCCUCCAUCUUGGCCUCCACUCUCCCUCAGCACAUGCUACAAAUGUUGCAACCUGGCCCAAAGCUGAACCCUGGGGUCGCUGUGGAGUUUGCCUGGUGCCUUCAUUACAUCAUCUGCAGCCAGGUCAGCAAUCCUCUGCUCAUUGGCCAUGGGGCUCUGUCUACUCUGGGGUUGCUGCUGUUGGACUUGGCUGGGGCUGUCCAGAGAACUGAGGAUGCAGGACUGGAGCUGCUGGCAUGCCCCGUGCUUCGAUGUCUAAGCAACCUGCUAACUGAGGCAGCAGUGGAGACUGUGGGAGGGCAAAUGCAGCUCAGAGAUGAGCGUGUUGUGGCAGCCUUAUUUAUCCUUCUGCAGUUCUUUUUCCAGAAACAGCCCAGUCUGCUCCCUGAGGGCCUCUGGCUCCUCAACAACCUCACUGCAAUCAGUCCUAGUUUCUGUACCUCCUUGCUCUCCCUGGAUCUGAUUGAGCCUCUCUUACAGCUGUUGCCAGUAUCUAAUGUGGUGAGCGUGCUCACAGUUCUGUGCAAUGUUGCAGAAAAGGGUCCUGCUUACUGCCAGCGGCUGUGGCCAGGGCCCCUGCUUCCCGCCUUGCUGCACACACUAGCCUUUUCUGACACUGAAGUAGUAGGCCAGAGUUUGGAGCUGCUGCAUCUGCUAUUCCUGUAUCAGCCAGAGGUAUAGGUUUCUGGCCCACGUCCUCAGUCACCCCUGUUCUGAAGCCACACAGUGGCUCCCUUCCCAUCCAGUCCUAACUAUAGUUGUUUCUCUGGGCCUGGCUAACCUAUAUAGGUUCCAUGUCAGAACCUUCAUCCUCUUGUGGGGGAAUGCACCCUCUAAAGUGGGCUGACCCAUGAGGCUGUGGGAAUUGAGUCUUAGGACACAGAGACCAGGUGUGUUGAAUUUUCUUCCCUGCCCCUAGGCUGUUCAGGUCUUCCUGCAGCAGUCAGGGCUGCAGGCCCUGGAAAGGCAUCAGGAAGAGGCCCAGCUCCAGGAUCGUGUGUAUGCUCUCCAGCAGACAGCUCUUCAAGGGUGAUCUUGUUUCUCAAUGUCAGUCAUUCCCCUCUCUAACAUCAAGCUUGUUUGUCCAGUAGAGCUUUUGGAGAUUUAGGACCAUAAUGAGGUCUCAUGUUCUCUGCUCCCACACCUAAGCCAAGACCUUUGGGUCCCAGCUCCUCCUCUUUGACUCAGCACUAUCUAGGCAGGAGGACCAAAAGGGACUCAGUGUGGUCUACUUACUCUGGGG
rnacentral:sRNA from 1 species